rnacentral:lncRNA from 1 species
GACCAUGUCAACAUGCCACUAAAGAAUUGGCCAUAAACAAAAAAAAUUACUAUAAACAUAAAAUAAUAAUAGCUUUUCUAAGCCUUUUAAAUUUAGUCUCCAUUACAGUAGAACAUAUGUCAAUUAAUGAAUGUUGUCAAAUACAGAUUAACAGUCUUUUAACAAAAAAGCAAUCUGUGCAGAACUCUUAACUAUGAUGCUAUUGUGCUGCACUUCUCAAAUUUGACCAUCCUAACAUCAUUCUGCAAAUGAAAAACAUAAAGCAACAUGCGUCAGUCAUAAUCCAUAAGGAUAAUGUGACAAAUGCAAUAAUGAAAAAUGGGCAUAUAUAAAUCACUGUUGUACUCUGCAAUAUUAAGUAAGUGGCUGAAAAAGAAUCAUCUACUAGAAAGACAUUAAUAAAUUUAUACAUGAAUAAUCAUUCAACUCUUUUCUUUUAAGUAAAUUUGUCAUACAAAGAAGCAAACAAGGGGGUUAUUGAAAGCAUAAAAAAGUGCGCCCAGCUACUACACAAAACCUUAUUUAGAGAUUGAUCUAAGCAUGUUAUUGAUAGCAAUAUGCUAAUUCAGAAAAAGAAAAAAAUGCAAAUCAAUGGUUUAUCAUAUCCUACCCUAUCAUAGUAUCUGAUAGCUAUUCAAAUCAAAAUAACCAUUCAUAGAAACAGAAUAUCAGAAACAACGUUCACUUCAGAUAACAUGCAAGUAUUUGAUUUACAAAUAAGCAACAAGUAUGACAAAGAGCAAGUAAUAUAGAAAUGUAAGGCUUUAAGUCAAUUCUGAUUCUAAAAAAAAAUGCAAAUCAAUGGUUAAUUGUUCCUUGCUCUAUCAUAUUAUCCCAAAGCUAUGCAAAUCAAAAUCAAGACAACCAUUCAUAGAAACAGAAUAUUGAAAAUAACAUUCACUUCUGAUAGCAUGCAAGUAUUUGAAUUAGAAAUAAGCAACAAGUAUGGCAAAGAGUAAGUAAUAUAGAAAUGUAAGGCAUCAAAUGCAAGUACUCAUAUGGCUUACUUAUAUAAAGUCAGUACUAACUGAUAAGCAUUACCUGUAAUGUUAGGAAUAUUCGAUUCGCUGUCUCUGCAUCAUAUAUUGUUGAUUGUAUACAUUUCUGGAGACGCCAGACCAGAAUCAGAUGAUGAAGGUAGAUCGACCUUGUCAUCUAAUCUGCAUUAACUUUGUUGUACAAGCAAGUGAAGCAACCUCCAACACUUUGACCAAUCGAUUCUCAGCUGCUCAAA